rnacentral:rRNA from 1 species
AUUGAACGCUGGCGGCAUGGCUAAAACAUGCAAGUCGAACGCGAAAGGGGGCAACCCCAAGUAGAGUGGCGAAAGGGCGAGUAAUGCGUUUCUAAUGUACCUCAGACUCGGGGAUAGCUCACCGAAAGGUGAAUUAAUACUCGAUGAUACUGCUGGACCGUAUGGUCUGGUUUUCAAAGGCUUGCUGGUCUGAGAUCAGGGAACGUCCUAUCAGGUAGUUGGUAAGGUAACGGCUUACCAAGCCUAAGACGGGUAGCGGGUGUGAGAGCACGGCCCGCCGCAUCGGGACUGAGACACUGCCCGGACUCCUACGGGAGGCUGCAGUAACGAAUAUUCCACAAUGCGCGAAAGCGUGAUGGAGCGAUGCCGCGUGCAGGAUGAAGCCCUUCGGGUGUAAACUGCUGUCAGGGAUUACCAACACAAUGAGGAAUCCCAGAGGAAGAGGACGGCGUAACUCUGUGCCAGCAGCCGCGGUAA